GGCCCCGGACGCCGCAGCGCCGUCCCGGAUUGCAAAUCCGUUUACCCCAGUUCGAUUCUGGGCGGGACCUCCA
rnacentral:tRNA from 1 species